ensembl:snRNA U6 U6 spliceosomal RNA
UUGCUUGCUUUGUUAGCACAUACACUAAAAUUGGAAUGCUGCAGAGAUUACAAUGGCCUCUGUGCAACGAUGCCACACAAAUUUGUGAAACAUUCCAUAUUUUU